rnacentral:rRNA from 1 species
CCUACGGGAGGCAGCAGUGGGGAAUAUUGCACAAUGGGGGAAACCCUGAUGCAGCGACGCCGCGUGAAGGAAGAAGUAUUUCGGUAUGUAAACUUCUAUCAGCAGGGAAGAAAAUGACGGUACCUGACUAAGAAGCCCCGGCUAACUACGUGCCAGCAGCCGCGGUAAUACGUAGGGGGCAAGCGUUAUCCGGAUUUACUGGGUGUAAAGGGAGCGUAGGCGGUGCGGCAAGUCAGAAGUGAAAGCCGGGGGCCCAACUCCGGGACUGCUGUUGAAACUGUGGAACUAGAGUGCAGGAGAGGUAAGUGGAAUUCCUAGUGUAGCGGUGAAAUGCGUAGAUAUUAGGAGGAACACCAGUGGCGAAGGCGGCUUACUGGACUGUAAAUGACGCUGAGGCUCGAAAGCGUGGGGAGCAAACAGGAUUAGAUACCCUUGUAGUC